rnacentral:rRNA from 1 species
GAUGAACGCUGGCGGCGUGCCUAACACAUGCAAGUCGAACGGAGAUUACGGACGGAAGUUUUCGGAUGGAAGACUGUAAUUCUUAGUGGCGGACGGGUGUGUAACGCGUGGGCAACCUGCCCUAUACAGGGGGAUAGCAGCUGGAAACGGCUGGUAAGACCGCAUAAGUCGGCGAGACCGCAUGGUUUUGCCGGGAAAUGAGCAAUCAGGUAUAGGAUGGGCCCGCGUCCGAUUAGCCAGUUGGCAGGGUAAAAGCCUACCAAAGCAACGAUCGGUAGCCGGACUGAGAGGUCGGACGGCCACAUUGGGACUGAGACACGGCCCAAACUCCUACGGGAGGCAGCAGUGGGGGAUAUUGCACAAUGGAGGAAACUCUGAUGCAGCGACGCCGCGUGAGUGAAGAAGUAUUUCGGUAUGUAAAGCUCUAUCAGCAGGGAAGAUGAUGACGGUACCUGACGAAGAAGCCCCGGCUAACUACGUG